CUUGUUGUUACCAUAUAUAUUACGUACUAUAUAUGCAUAUAUUAUAUAUGGUAACAUAUAUAAAUAUAGAGUUGAGCUAGAAUACUAUCGGUAGUAAACGAGCCGUUUUACUACCGAUUUGUUUUCGAUGAUAGAACUUCCAAAUUGACGAUCGGCUCCGUUGAAUAUGAUCUAUACCACUUGAAGUGUUUAGAAAUCAAAUUUCAAAUUUUUUCGACAUCAUUUACCUAAUGAUUAAAGGGUUUCAAAAUUUGUAAAUUUAAUGAUCGAUAAGAGGCGUUUUUUCGUUUAACGGCGUAAAGAUAUCCAAUCAAUUGAAUUUUUGUUAGAAAAUUCGUUAAACUGUUUAAAACAAGAUCUAUACUCUUGAUCUUGAUUACAAGACUCCUAUCAUCAUUUUUUAAAGAGUAUUCAUUUUCAGCUAUUUAUUUUUCUGUUCACUUGAUGGAUAAAAGAACAAUAUCGAAAGUGCGUAAAAUUUGAUUUCUAGGUAGUUUAAAUGGUUUAGAUAAUAUUUAAUGGAGCCGAUUGUCAAUUUGGAAGCUCUAUCAUCGAAAAAAAAGAAAACAGGGAGGAAAAGAAAGAAAAAGAAAAAAGAGGGAAAAAUUAUGAUGCUUAAUUGAUUCUCUAGGUGAAAUGUCACCUCAAUUGUCCUCUAUAUUAUAGUUUAUUUGUUGAUGAUUAAAGGUUUGAUUUUAAUUUGUUGUGAUGUUUUGAAGUAUAUAUUAAGGUGAGAAUAAUGUCGGUGCAUCGUCGUUUUCGGAUUAACAACUUUUAAUGUU
rnacentral:lncRNA from 1 species